GGCUAGUGAUUCAAGAACGCUGGAUUUGCCGGAAGAUUGAUCCCCAACAACAACGAUGGUGGGGAGCUGUAUACCUUCAUUCAUGACCUUGAGGUGCCUAAGCUUAUCAACUGCAUCAAGAAGUGGACGAAUAUGAUCGUUGUAAGAUGAUACGAUGGGUACAUGGGUUUCCAUAUUUGCAUCUUCUUCUUCAUUAACGACAGCAAGUGAAUCCUCUACAUAUUCUACAAGCUCUUGACCAUUUUCGUAAGAACCCAUUUUCUGGGAAAGAAAGAGAGAGAAAAGGAAAAUUAGAAAUUUUGGUUUUAGAGCUCAAAGAAAAACCAAGGGAGAGAAUUAGAGAGGAAUUUGUAAUUGGAUGACUUGAAACUACG
rnacentral:misc_RNA from 1 species